rnacentral:rRNA from 1 species
UACAGAGGGUGCAAGCGUUGUUCGGAAUUACUGGGCGUAAAGCGUGCGCAGGUGGUUCGUGAUGUCUGAUGUGAAAGCCCCGGGCUCAACCUGGGAAUUGCAUUGGAAACUAGCGGGCUGGAGUGUGGCAGAGGGGGGUGGAAUUCCACGUGUAGCAGUGAAAUGCGUAGAUAUCGGGAGGAACACCUGUGGCGAAAGCGGCGCACUGGACCACAACUGACGCUGAGGCGCGAAAGCUAGGGGAGCAAACAGG